CUUCAUUGAAUAGGCAUGGCUGAUUAAAUCAUUGGCCAUUGUGAAUUGAACUCAACCUCUAGCUCCUCUCCCCUCCCCAGAGGGUGGGGUGGGAUGGAAUCCUCUAAUCACAUGGUUGAUUCUCCCAGCAACCAGCCCCCAUCCCGAGGUACAGCCUGAAAGUCUUAUUAAUACACUGAGACACAUUUAUUCCUCCCAUCACAGGAAAUUCCAGUGGUUUUAGGAGUGUGUCAGAAACAGGGACAAAGACCACAUAUAUUAUUUCUUAUAAAUCACACUAUCCCAGGAGACUUGGCUCCUAAGAGUACGUGGGCAUAUAGAGGCACCUUAGGUCUAAGUAGAGCCAUGCUUCAGGGAGAACAUCAGGGAUCAGUGGGAAGGAUGAGUUUGAGUGGGUCGGGAAUGGCAGCCCAUGGACCGAAUAGGAAACACGACAGUGGUCUUGGUGAGGGAGUUGUGGUGGCCACAGGAAGAGAAGGCAGAUGGAGAAGAGGGGGUGGAAAAGAAUACUCAGAACUUUGGAACUGAAUGUUGGGGUGGGGCUAGGGAACGUGUAAAGAUGCCCAGGACUUUUGUCUGGAUGAUUGGGAAACGGAAAAUACCCACCUAACAGAUCAUUAAGUGCCUUUCGUUUGAACUCAGAGAAUUAGAAUUCUAUACUAGCAUUCUACCUUGUAAUUCUGAAUGCAUGAAUAUUUGAUUUUUAGGCAGUAGAAGACGUUAGACAGAGUUGUAAUGCAAAAUUAAAUCAAGGAUGCCUCGAUACUGGGUGAGAAAUGCAGUGAAAUGAUGGCAUCCCUUGAUCUUUCUUCCUUGGUAAAAAUGUCUCAAGAUAGACAGAUAAAAAGUAGACAGACACAGAGAAAACAAGAAAGAAAUCCUGAUCCAUUUAGCCCUCAUGUCAGUGUUGAAAGGAAUGUGGGGCUUGGCAGGUGAGAAAGAUGAGCCAGUUACCACCGCUGGAGCUUGGAAUCAAUUUGAGAUGGCUCAAUGGAACAAUCAAUAGAAGAAUAAGAGAUGGUUGGAAGGUCCUUGUCUUUCACCCAAGUUAUGAUGCUAUGGUAAGUUCUGGUUGAUCUUAAAGCUAUAGCAAAAUCAUCUGGGUUUUUCCCUUGUGGGUACUCAUGAGAAGGGAAAUACAGUGGGAUGGUGACAACUCUCAUCUUGAAAAUUUCUUGGGGACAUUUCUCAUCCUAGAUCUAUGACAAUUGUCCUCUGGCCUGUGAGUUGAAAAAGUCUGACUGAUCAGAACAUUUCCAUAUGAACAUUUCUCUCAGCGAAGUAGUUAUCCUUAGCUUCAAGGGGUACAUGAGAAGAUCAACAUUUAUGAUUUUUUUAAAAAUUUUUUCUUAUUUUAUAUACUAUGCUUUCUUAUGGAUGUCCUGAUUUUAUUCUUCGCUGGGAAGAGAUAUCAUGGCUUCAUAAACAUGAGAGCUGUCAAUCUUUCACAAAUUUAAUAAAUUCAUAUAGUAAAAUACAUAAAAAGAUGUAAAAUUACAAUACAGUAUAUUUUGAGAUAUACCAUAAUAUUUAAUAUAGCCAGAUGCUGUUGCAAUAUAUUCAUUGUAAACUAAUGUUGCAAUAUAUUCAUUGUAAACUAAUAUGUCCAUUCUUUUCAUAUCAGUGCUAUUAUUGUUAUAAUCCAUAUUUUAUAGAUGAGGAAACUGAGUCACAGAGCUCUUGAUUAACUUGCUUAAGGUCACACAGCUAGCAGAACUGAGAUCUGAACUUAGACCCUUUGGCUCCAGAGCACACACUCUUAAUCAGUUGCCUAAACUGCCCCUUCCUGAUACCAAAGCUUAAUCCUUGGUGUGGAUUUUCAAGUACAGUUUUUGAAAAGUGGCAACCAGGAAGAGAAGAGACUUCUGAGAGAAGAAAGCUCUGAUCCAGUACCCCAAUGAGUAAACUCAUCUGCAAAUGCACUUAACAUUUGCAUCUUUUUGCUGGGGACCAGAAAAGGGACGUCCCCAGUUCUCUUGCCUUCUUGACCUGAAUGAUAUAAAACACUAUUUUACCAGUUUUGUUUGGAAGCCUUACUGUACAUGCUUUCACCAGCACCAUGGCCUGUCCUUUGCUUCAGUGGAUCUGGUGGGCUGCCCCCUCUUCUCUGGGGCUUGCUCUCUACCCCCUAUAUGCAUAUGCCCAGCAGAGCCUGAUUCUUCUGGGGAAAAAUGAUUGACCAAAUUAGCAUGGAGAUAAAAAUACUUCUUUCUUCAAUUGAGCGGCUCUUUAUAGAACUGAAACAAAAUUAGAUCCAGGAAGUGGUAGGUAUUUUGGAAAAUGGUUCUUGAUAAUAGAGUAUUAUUAGAUUCAGGUUUUUGCCCUAAGCAAGUUUUGUCCACGUUUAGGAAAGACUCUUUCCAGUGAACAUUUUUAGAUGAGAAUCAAAUUAUCAGGAGAAUGUGUGCAUCCUAUUCUGUAUUAGUGCUAUAUUUUGGAAACAUCCUUGAGAACUAGAUUUAAGCAUUCAUUCAUCCAACACAUUGUUAUGAGCCAGUGCUCCUGGCCAGGCACUGUUUUUGGACUCUGAAUGAGAGCAGUCAAUCUAUCAGCAAAAUCCUCUUCCUUUGGGAAGCUGACCUUCCAGGUUUAGGUGGAGAAAUUUGAAUGAAUUCAAGGGCCAUAUUUGGCAUGAGGACAAAGCAAAUGAGGACAAAUGACCACUGUCAAAGCCAAAAAUGCUCUUCAUCUUUACAUCCUUGCCUUCACACUGUUUGACCAAUUUGGAGGAUUCCUGGCUCUUUUCUCCCAAGUAUGUAUCUUAGCACCUUAGCACAUUUUAUGGUCUCACACCAACCCUUUCCAUUACUCUCUGUUUCUUUUCCAGAAAACUGUUUAUUUUCUGAUUCUACCACCAAAGCUUUUCCCAAGACCCCAGGCUUUCCACCUCCCAGAGCAAUUUAUGGCCAAGUCAUCAUGGAUGGUGAAAGUCUCCAGUUUCUGGCCAAAAAGAUGGAGCAGAAUAAAAGCACUUGAGGCUCUUGGUAUUACCUACAAGGGGAUAACUCUCUGCCAGAAACACACUGAGAAAUUUUCCAAUUUCAGACCAAUGGAACAGUUGGUAAAAAAUCUACAUGAGCAUUCCUUCUUUCUUCCUAUUAUUUAUACUCUUGGGAACAUAAUUACAUUCUUAGGGACACUGGAAAACAUCUUUUGGUGUGAAUCUCUGGAGGAAGAUAGGGAAUCUUCCAGAGAUUCACUACCUAGAUUCUCAUCUAAAACCUAGAAUUAAAAUCCUGGCUUCUGAGACUGCCCCUAAUCUCUGGUGAUGCUGGGGUGUGUUGGAGCAGUUGUAGCUAUGUCCACAUGGGCAAGUCAUAUACACAGUAAAGAAGCUCUUUUCUAUAAAUACAGGAACUUUUAAAACACUUCCCCCCAUUUUAUUAUAGUAAACUAUACAUACAAUUUACCAUUUUAACCAUUUUAAGUGUACAAUUCUGUGGAAUUAAGUGCAUUUACAUUAUUGUACAACCAUGCAUAUCCAGAAAUAUUUCUGUACUCAAACUAAUACUCUGAACCCAUUAAAUACUAACUUUCCAUUCCUCCAUUCCCUCUGGAAACCAUCCUUCUCUAUUCUGUCUCUAUGAAUUUGACUACCUAGGCACCUCAUGUAAAUGGCAUCAUAUAAUAUUUGCUCUUUUGUUAUGGGCUUAUUUCCCUUAGCAUAAUGUCUUUAAACUUUAUCCAUGUUGUAGUAUGCAUUAGAAUUUCUUUCCUUUUUAAGGUUGAAUUAUAUUCUAUUGUGUGGAUUAUUCUGCAUUUUGUUUACCUAUUCAGUAGUUGAUGGACGCUUGGGUUACUUCCAGAUUUUGGCUAUUGUGACUAAUAUUGCUAUGGACAAGAGUGUACAAAUAUAAAUAUUCUUAUUCACUCUCUUGACAGAUUUUUAAAAAAAUAUGACAGACUCUACUAUGACCACACUCUUUUUAAACUCUGUGCCAGACUAACCUCAUUUUUCUUGAAUAUUUUAUACCCCUUAGAGAGAUGCAUUCACUUGUUGGACAGAUGAAUGCCCACUAUGCAUAAGCACUAUGUGAGAUCUUGGAAGUUCCAAUAAAUACCAUGAAUGGUUCCUGCUUUUACAGGAGAAAGAUCUUUAAAUGAAGGGAUAGGUUGGUGUUCUGUGUACCUUCAGCAAGGUAUGCACUGGCUAGAGAGGAGGAGAAAGCAGUGUGUCCCCCCCUGUCCUGGAUGGUCGGGGGAGAGUCUGAGCAGUGGUGAUACCAGAUCUAAAGGCGGAGCCCCUGAGAUGUGCCAUCCCUGGGCCAGGUACUUGGUCUAUAUUGUUUGGUGCAAUUCUCUCAAUAGUGUUAUGAGGUAUGAAGCAUAUACCUCAUGCUUAUUACAGACAAAAAAAUCAAGACUUGGAGAGAUUAAGUAAUUUGCCCAAGGCCACACAUCUAGUAGGAAGGACAGCACUUUACAGCUCUUAAUAACUCUGUUAUAUUGGUGCUCCAAAUAGGAACUGACAAGGUAAUGUGGGAGUGGGGUGAACUGGAUGCAUGGACUAAGGAAGGAGGGAUUAGAGAACUGCAAACCUCCUUUCCAAAUGGCUUACAAAGAAAUUACCUGCUGGAACCUUUGGUGUUUAGGCUUGAAGAGGAGCCCCUUGUUUCCGCAUCCCUCCUUCACUGACCUUUGAAUAGGAUGGUGCCCAUGGCAUCUGGGGAAACCAGACAUUUGGAAACCAAAUGGUAUUUUCUGCCCAAUUUGGGUACCUGCUACCUAGAAGCUUCUGGCAUAAGCAGACGGAAAAGAUCAACAUCUUUGUUACUGAAUAAAUAUGUCUCCACCAUUGACUGAAUGCUUAUUCUAAGUCUGACACUAUUCUAAUUCCUUUUCAUGUAUUGACAUUCAGACUCUUUGCAACCACCUUUAGAUGUGGGUUCCAAGAUCAUUCUGUUUUCUAGAAGAAGAAAAUAAAUCCCAGAGAAGAUAAGCAACUUGCUUAUGGUAACACAGCUAGGAAUGGGCAAGGCCAUGAUCUAAAUGCAGUACGUGGAGGUCCAAAAUGUUGCAGCUGGUAACUGCCAAUGUCCUACUUUUGUGUCAGAGUCUCAAGGUCAACAUUCUCUCCUUAGCAUGAUGUGGUGAAGUUCUUGGUCCACCGUCUCUGAGACUGCUGACCCCUGACUGCUAGGACAGGUGGCUGUACAGCUGAGGAUGCCCAGAAAGCCAAGUGAAGAUACUGAGCACCCAGGGGCUGUUGAUACCCUUUCAUCUUGUGCAGCAGCAAAGAUGGAAUAUCUAUAUUUAAAUCAUGCUCUUUAAGAGGCAGCCUGUCACUGUCUGUUAGCUUUGUGGUUUCCAUUUCUUUCCAGUUCACAAUUGGAUUCAUGAAGAAACUGAGUGAUGAGCUGGGUCCUGCCUUCCCUGAGUGGAAGUUAUGCUCAUUUUAAAAUCAUGAUGUCAUGAAAACCUGUGGCACAGUUCUAAAGAGUCAGAACUUGACCUCAAAUGAAAUUCUAAUUAUAGCUGUUACUAAAAAAAAAACCACCUAAACCUCCAACCCCCACAACCUAGUUGUUAAUUUUAUAAAACCUAGAUUCCCAGGAGAAUUCAACGUCCUCACAUGCAAAACCGAACUUGUAGCCAACCGACCCCGCAUCUAUUGCGCUUCCCACACAGUCGUCAUUUCUUUUUUCUUUUCCAUUUCUUGGGCCACUCCCGCAGCAUAUGGAGGUUUAGCAUCACCGAGCAAGUCUCCUUGCCUGACACUAAAGAGGAGGCUAAGAGCUAGUUGGAGAAGUACCUGGCUUACUAUGCUAAAGAAUUUAAAUUUUGUUCCUUUCCCCGGAAUGUCCUCGUCUCUCUCCAUCUGCCUUUCCUACCAAGAUCUAUCUUAGUCAAUGAAAUCCAUAAACUCUUCCCAGACUAUUUCAUCCUUCUUAGAGUAAUUCUGUGAAUUUCUACUGUGUGGGUAGUUUGGGUCACGUAUCUGAAAACCUACUUAUACAGACCAUUUAUUAUCCUGUGAGUUUUUUGCUUCCUCAAGACCAUGGGUUGAAUAUGUUAAAGUUCUGACUCCCCAGAUAUCUGUGAUUGUGACCUUGUUUGGAAAUAGAGUCACUGCAGUUACAAUGAAGUUAAGAAGAGGGUCAUCAGUGUGGGCCCUAAUUCAAUAUGACUUAUAAGAAGAGGAAAUCCCAUAGGAAGACACAGACGUACAAAACCCUACAUGAUGGGAAUUCUCGUUGUGGCUCAGUGGUUAAUGAAUCUGGCUAGGAACCAUGAGGUUGUGGGUUCGAUCCCUGGCCUUGCUCAGUGGGUGAAGGAUCCAUCAUUGCCAUGAGAUGUUGCAGACUCUGCUCGGAUCCCAUGUUGCUGUGGCUGUUAUGUAGGCCGGCGGCUACAGCUCCGAUUAGACUCCUGGCCU
ensembl:lncRNA